rnacentral:rRNA from 1 species
GGCGUGCCUAUACAUGCAAGUCGAGCGGGGUUAGUUAGAAGCUUGCUUCUAAUUAACCUAGCGGCGGACGGGUGAGUAACACGUAGGCAACCUGCCCACAAGACAGGGAUAACUACCGGAAACGGUAGCUAAUACCCGAUACAUCCUUUUCCUGCAUGGGAGAAGGAGGAAAGGCGGAGCAAUCUGUCACUUGUGGAUGGGCCUGCGGCGCAUUAGCUAGUUGGUGGGGUAAAGGCCUACCAAGGCGACGAUGCGUAGCCGACCUGAGAGGGUGAUCGGCCACACUGGGACUGAGACACGGCCCAGACUCCUACGGGAGGCAGCAGUAGGGAAUCUUCCGCAAUGGGCGAAAGCCUGACGGAGCAACGCCGCGUGAGUGAUGAAGGUUUUCGGAUCGUAAAGCUCUGUUGCCAGGGAAGAACGUCUUGUAGAGUAACUGCUACAAGAGUGACGGUACCUGAGAAGAAAGCCCCGGCUAACUACGUGCCAGCAGCCGCGGUAAUACGUAGGGGGCAAGCGUUGUCCGGAAUUAUUGGGCGUAAAGCGCGCGCAGGCGGCUCUUUAAGUCUGGUGUUUAAUCCCGAGGCUCAACUUCGGGUCGCACUGGAAACUGGGGAGCUUGAGUGCACAAGAGGAGAGUGGAAUUCCACGUGUA